ensembl:lncRNA
GAGCAUGGCUUUAUUGGUAAUUAAAAACUACAUCUCAGCUUAGUUUUCUUCCCACACUCGGCUGUACUCUAUCUUACCCCCAUAUCAAAGAGACAUGUCAGUCCUUUCAUAUCCUCACUGAAGUUCACAGAGAUUUGCCAGCAUUAAUCAGACACAAUUACCUUUGCAUCUUUAGGCAGGGAUAUCAGACCUGAGCUGAGGGUGACUCACAGAAAAUCACUUCCCCCUGUGAGGUUCUUCCAGACAUCCCUUUUGCCCCGAGACCUCAGCGCCUUUGGUCAUUCCGCACUUGGGAAACUCCAGGUAUGCAGCAAGCCCCAGCUACUACCCACUCCAUGUAUUUCACAUCCCUGUCUUUUCACCUCACCUGAUGGAACUGAGAAUAAGGUUACAAGCUGGUUCUGGCCAGGCAAUUUCACAUUAUUAUUUUUUUUUCUUUAGAUGAGCUUUUUCCAUUGAAUUUUAGGGUGAAACAGUAUUCUUUUGGUGAGCAUCUCGUGCAGUGCAGACAGAGCUGAUGGACCACAGAUCCGUUCUCAACAGUCAUUGUGGAUGAACCCUGGAACAACCCAACCACACUGACCACUUCUGACUUGGACAUCUCCAGGAUCUCCAUCUUCUUGAUGAGAAGAAAUGAGCCGCCCCUCCAUUGUAAUGUUGGUCACUGACUGCCAGGCUGCAGCAAAAGCAGCAUGAUGAACACUCUGAGAUGCCAGGGCCUGGCCAGGUGGUGGGUCAUGGCCCAGAGUCGUCUACAUCCUGCUGAGAGCAGAAAGGCCAUGAGCCUCGAUACCAAGGGAAGGCAGGAAAAUGAGGCAAAAACACAGGUGUCUCCUGCACACUCACUCAGGACAAUUUGGCUGGCAUUUUCCUUUUUGAGAAAACUUGUUUUCAUCUUCUUAAACAUCCAUCUUGAAAGAUGGACAAUAGCCUCCUUACUGGUAGGAAUUACCGCUGUGCUAUGAAGAGGACAGAGGCACAAAAAGCAGGCUUGUCUGACAGGGCAAGCCUUUCCAUCACAGCAAAUCACUGUGGUACAUAACACACUGCAACACUGUUUUGGUCCCCAUUGUUCCUUUGCAUAAAAGUCUUUGAACUAGAGUUAGUAAUUAUGGAAGCCACGCUGCAGACAGCUCCUCAGCCACAGAUAUGUUUAUCAGCAGAGCAUCAACCUGCCUGGCUUCCCAGAGGUGGAGAUGGCAUGGGGUCAUGCUUGCGUCAGCUCAUCAGCCCUGCAAGGCUGGGAUGAUCUCUUGCUUUUGUCUCUGUGAAGCAGACAGCAUCAGUGGAGUUCCCAUUACUGAUUUAGAUAGCUGCCCAGAUUCAGCAGGGACAACAUGCCAGGCUCUAAAGGCAUUGCAAAGGUGGAGGAGUACUUCCUGCCACUUCUAGGAGGCUGAAAACAAGAGGGCUUUUAAGUUUAAUGGGAAAACAAAUCUAGCCAGGUUAAAAUACAUGUUGUCAUGAAAACAGAAAGGUUUGCUUUCCACUCACCUUCUCUGAACUUUGGCUGAGUGCGGCUGGCAGGUGAGUGACUUAGAAACUCUCACUGGCCACUGCAAGUCCUCUCUGACAUCUACCCUCACAUGGUAGGAACAGGGAUGCUCGGGCAGUAGGGCAGUCUUUUUGAUGUGCCCUGGGCUGAGCCAGUAAGUCUCAGCCUCCCUGGACACCCUAGCAAUGUCUGAAAUCUCUCUUCUUAUGUCUUAUUGCUAAUCCUAUGGGGCUAUAAGACCCAGUGCUCUAACCAUCAGAUAUGCGAGUUGCUACAGUUUGGGGCAAACUGCAUGGGGAUGCUGAGAGGUAACCACUGGCUAGCCUCCUCACUGGGUUCCGAGUUUUCUCUUGCUGAAGGAGAAAUGGAACACUUUUAAGCAAAGGAACAAUUUUUGAUGCACAUUAAAUGAGUACGGAGCAGACACAAUGGAAGGCAGGUUGGAAAGGAGAAGAUGCUUUCUUGGUCACAGAGCCUGCAGGUUUUGGAGAGGUUUUCAGCUGGAAUACUAUGAGGACAAGCCCCUCCCCUCGAACACAGAGCAUGUCUUGUUUAUGGAAAGUAAUAGUCAACAAAGUUGAAGAAAAUAGAAGGUAAGUGGGCAUCAGUUAGGAGGCCCCUUCCAGCCCUGCAUACAAAAGCAGUUUCAAAGGACUGCCAUACCUUACAAUUACCACUGGGCUAGGGACAGGUCCUGAGCUUUGCCCAGCUCUAACACUCAUCUCUACGAGAAAUUUGGACCAUUCUACGUGCAGCGUGUAUUACUUCACUCUAAUUGCGUCACAGGCAAGCAUAGACUUGGUCAGGAACCAAACACAGUUUGUCUCAUUGCU